UAGACACACACACAAGCUACAUAUUAUUAAUUAUGAGGGAGUGGUUUGACUGAGGGCAUUGGACCUAAAGCAGUUGAAUUGGAUUUCAAGGUUUACUUCAGCGGGUCAUCUCACUUCUGUGAGGUCUUGCUGAUUUAAAAAAAAAAGUAGUAUUAUAAAAUUAUAAAGCAUGGUUGCUCAAUGGAAUUUAGUGUGGUGAUGUAACGAUCUCGAUUCCCGCAGGCAGUGGUUUGACGCGAACCCGGGACACAAAAACUGUGUGGGUGUGAGAAUUUCAAUUUCCGUUCAUCCUGAAGCACAAGCAGUUCUCUCACCUGCGUGAGAUGAAGUGGUCUCCCAACGCACUGAACCCCCACUGGUCAGAGUCCCUGCCGCUUAUCCACACCAUGACUGAGCAAGUGCUGGGACUACACCCCGGGGGCAUGUAGCGCAGACUUCCUCUCAGAGUCCGGUAUUGGGCUGGUCUGGCACUAACUCCCCAACCUGGACGUGGAGAAAACAGAAUGCAGGUAGGAUUUUGGGAGCUUCCCUGGCUGUGAGGUGGCAAGGCUGGUCACUCAAGUGAGCGGACAUCUGAAGGCAACGGGAGAUGAGAUGCUGGAAGGGAACAGGUCAGAACUGUGCAUUGGAGACCCUGGGGCAGUUGGUGGGCAACUGAAAUGAAUGACAGGGCCCCAUGUGUGACCCUAAACAGCCCUGAGGGCCACCAGACCCAACAACACACCCACAUGCCGGAAACCACCAAUUAAAAUACGUACAUAAGAAAUAAUCCAAAAUACAUUCACUAAGCGGGCGGCUGACGGCACGUGCUUCACAGGACAGCGUGUGUUCGUCUUCGCCCUUCAAACUCAGCGCAGGGGUGGAAGUGGUGAGCUGAGCCUGAACAUAAUUGGACAUUACUAAAUUGGGGAGAAAACUAUAAAAAAUCAUGGUGACCACUAAGAAAAAACACAUUCACUAACUAAAAUAUAAGCAAUGUUACCAUUUCAAUUGAAUAACAAAUAUAAUUACUGGUAAUAAAUGUGCAGUUCCUACCAUUAAUGUGACUUUUGGGAGACCAUAGUUUACACCAGCUUAUCGAAGGCAGGUUAGUGCAGCACAUGGUAGCUCAACAGGGAGAUUCCCGUCAGUCAGUCUGUUGCUAAUUUGUCGCUUAUUUAUUACAUUGUCCUCACCACUUUUGGAUCCAUGUGUCCAUUUUAAACUUUCUUUGCUAUCGCUAACUCAGACCUUCUCUCCCCAAUUUCACUGCAGUAAAGUAUCGCACAAAUUAAACUUACUAACAACAACCAUCUCCUAGUAACAGACCUUGCUUCAGUCAUUCUCACGGUGAGACUUGACUAUUAAAACGUGUAUGUUUUAAAGAUAACCAGUAUUUUUCUGAAAAUACAAUGUCUUCUGGUUUAACCUGAUUUAAACUUUUGAUAAGCAUUAAUAAAUAUUUACAAAAUAUUGUGAAAAUCUUAUUUUUGUGAUAUUGUUAGAAAUGCUUUGUAGAUGAGGAACUGGGUAAAGGAAAGGCAGCGCCUUGUAUGAUAUUAUUAUAAUUUAAUUAUCUGACUUGAACGAAUUGAUCAAAAAGCAGAAUAUUGUAACUUCAUUUCCACCAAAAAAGCUAAGAAAACAUAUAGUCCAGGAUGUUUUUUGUGUUAAUGUGUUAAAUUAUUUUAAAACUGUAUUGCAGGAGCUGUGCUCUUGUAAUUACGUUUUUAUAAUUUCUGGUUACCGCUGUUCAUAAUAGGCACCAUCUGUUGACAAGCAGGUUUUAAUUUUUUAGUGAUAUAUAGUAAAGCUACACCGUCUGAAUCACACAGCUAAAAAGAGACCUGUCCCUCUCACAGCUCUUUUUUUUCAACUCUGCUGCAUAAAUGAUCCUGAAACCAGAGCAGAAACACAGGAAUGGGAGCAUUUUUUUCCACUGAAAGGUUACAAUGUUUAAUUCCUGCUUACCAUUAACAGCUUGUUUUUCUGCACAGGUCUGCUCCGCAGUGCUACAGAGCACACCGUGCUAUAUUACAAUUCCAACACUGUUUUUUAUUGUAUAAGCUUGGAGUAGGGUAAAGCUUGGCAAAGUGGCGAGGGCCAUUAUUGCACCCCCAGGGGGCCACAGGUUGUCCACCACUGCCCUGAGGCCUGGAGACACAGGGGCACACAUAUACCAUCACUUGGGUUCUUACUUAGAAUUUUUACCAUAUACUCCUGUCCUCCCUUAGACCUUUUGGAUUGCCUUAGAAAGAACUCUAGCUAAUGUACUUAAGAGGUAAAUACAGGGUGCAUUGACAGUGCAAGGACAAGUCUUCUGAAUAGAUAUAAGCAGGGAUGGAGUCGAGGAUUUUUUUGUUUUUUUCACUAGUAAGAGAGAUAGCGGUCUCCAAGUAAAUUAAGUGUGCCAGUUUUUUUAAUAGAUAUUACGGUAAGUGUUUUGGGCUUUCCUUGUAAGAUUCUGGAUUUUAACAAAUAGUCAGUUCUGUGCAGCUUCCCCGCUGAGUAACCUUAUUAAUAACGUUGUGCAAGAUUUUUCUUUUUUUUUUUUUUUUUAUGAUAAAUGAGAAAAAUGUUUUAGUUUUGAGCUGUGCUGUCUAAUAUAAAAGGCAGAUGGUCAAGGCUGUGCAUGUGUCUGUACUCUCCAACCUCAGCUCUCCUUUCAUUGGCAGGUUUGUUGUUGGGUAGUUCAGCCCCUAUCACAGGAAGCACAAAUCACACACCCUAUCAUGGUCUAGCAUUUCGAACCAGAAGCCAAAGGGUAAGGAAGGCUGUAUUACUCUGAUGACGGAAUAUAACUAGGUCUUCCUCUUAGUGCAAUAGAAUAAUCUAUACCACUGAUUGCACUAAAUUUACAAAGCAGCAGCAGCACCACAAUCUAGGGACUAACUCCCACAAUGAAAAAGUUAAAUUUGUGUGUUUAAAACUGUGCUGGCAGGUUUUACCGAUCUCGGAUUAACACCAAUCAGGGAAUACCUUUGGUUCUGAUCGAGGUCAGCAAAACCAGUCGUUAAUUACUAAAACAGUGCACCCUAUUCACCUGGAGAGAGAUUCCGUCCCAUGAGUGACAAGCUUUGACCCUCAAGACUCUGCAAGUGUGAGGGGAGGACUGAUAGCUUUCUUUAACCUAAUAGGAUUUUUGUGAUUUAAAACAUUCUUUCAAAACUCCCCAAAUUAGAUAGUGAAUGAAAGUUCAUGAAACUUUCCAAAGCAACAUUUAUGUAGAGGUGGUCAGUACUUAAUAAAAGUGCUUAGGAUUAGAGAACUUAGAUGUUGGGUUCACAUUCUGUCAAAUGAAAUGCCGUUUUUCGCCUUUCAUAAAGUAGAAGUUAACAAAAGACUGUAGGAAACGUUCUGAGAAUAAUCCCCUAGUGCAGGGCUUCCCAACCCUGGCCGUGUGGACCCUAUGUGUCUUCUGGCUCUUAAUUACUUAACUCAACUCUUAAACUAAUAAUUGAAC